rnacentral:rRNA from 1 species
UAUUUCUGAAAGUAGCGCACGGGUGAGUAAUACGUAGGUGACCUGCCUUGAAGUGGGGGAUAACGACUGGAAACGGUUGCUAAUACCGCAUGAGACCAAUUCACUGGGAAGUGGGAUGGUGAAAACUCUGGUGCUUCAAGAGGGGCCUGCGGCCGAUUAGCUAGUUGGCGGGGUAAGAGCCCACCAAGGCGACGAUCGGUAGCUGGUCUGAGAGGACGAUCAGCCACACGGGAACUGAGACACGGUCCCGACUCCUACGGGGGGCAGCAGUGAGGAAUAUUGGGCAAUGGGCGCAAGCCUGACCCAGCAACGCCGCGUGGAGGAAGACGGCCUUCGGGUUGUAAACUCCUUUUACGGGGGAAGAGGAAGGACGGCACCCCGAGAAUAAGUCACGGCUAACUACGUGCCAGCAGCCGCGGUAAUACGUAGGUGACAAGCGUUAUCCGGAAUUACUGGGCGUAAAGCGCACGCAGGCGGCGUGGUAAGUCUGAUGUGAAAUCUCCCGGCUUAACUGGGAGGGGUCAUUGGAAACUGCCGUGCUCGAGGCGGUGAGAGGGGUGUAGAAUUCCCGGUGUAGUGGUGGAAUGCGUAGAUAUCGGGAGGAAUACCAGUGGCGAAAGCGGCACCCUGGCACUAGCCUGACGCUCAUGUGCGAAGGCGUGGGGAGCGAACGGGAUUAGAUACCCCGGUAGUCCACGCGGUAAACGAUGAAUACUAGGUGUGGGUGGAGUGAAAUCCAUCUGUGCCGAAGCAAACGC